rnacentral:rRNA from 1 species
CGUAGGUGAACCUGCGGAGGGAUCAUUACCGAGUUAGGGUCCUCACAGGCCCGACCUCCCAACCCAUUGUUUAUGAUACUCAGUGUUGCUUCGGCAGGCCUGGUCUUUGACCUGCCGGAGGGCCGUAACACGCCCCCCGGAGAGCGCCUGCCGACGGCCCCAACUUCAAAAUUCUUAACUAAACAUGUCUUUGUCUAAGUACAGUCUUUAAUAAAAGCAAAACUUUCAACAACGGAUCUCUUGGUUCUGGCAUCGAUGAAGAACGCAGCGAAAUGCGAUAAGUAAUGCGAAUUGCAGAAUUCUCGUGAGUCAUCGAAUCUUUGAACGCACAUUGCGCCCUUUGGUAUUCCGAAGGGCAUGCCUGUUCGAGCGUCAUUUUCACCCCUCAAGCCCCCGGCUUGGUGUUGGACGGUUUGGUCCCGGGACCCCCCUGGACCCCUCCCAAAGACAAUGACGGCGGGCUGUCGCACCCCCGGUACACUGAGCAUCUUCACGGAGCACGUACCGGUCUCCAGGGUCGACGGCACCCGGUCUCACACCUAUAUCUUCAAGGUGACCUCGGAUCAGGUAGGAAUACCCGCUGAACUUAAGCAUAUCAAUAAGCGGAGGAAAAGAAACCAACAGGGAUUGCCUCAGUAACGGCGAGUGAA